rnacentral:lncRNA from 1 species
AGUGGAAUUUGAGAGCAAACUGAAGAAGAAAUCUUUUAGGCAUUGGUUUUAUAUUAAUUGAGUCAAUAUUGAAUUUUUGAAGGAUUUUCAAAGUUAAUAAUGUUCUUAAUCACUUUAGAUUUUGAAAAAUAAAAAUAUGUUUAUAAAUUUAAGGAUUUCUUGAGUUUAUGGUGUGUAAAUAAGUAAAUUUUGGCUAAUACAUUGAUGUGUUAGUUAUAAAUGUGUAUGCAAAUUUUGAAGUCAAUCAAACAAUUAGAUCAAAGGGUGUGAAGGUUUUUGUGGAUUGAGGUCUCAAAACGUAGAGUUUGACGAUCAGUGAAUAUUUCUAAGAUCUUUAGCAAUCUAUCAAUUGAAUUCAAGUA